AUUGAACGCUGGCGGCAUGCCUUACACAUGCAAGUCGAACGGUAACAGGUCUUCGGAUGCUGACGAGUGGCGAACGGGUGAGUAAUACAUCGGAACGUGCCUAGUAGUGGGGGAUAACUACUCGAAAGAGUGGCUAAUACCGCAUGAGAUCUACGGAUGAAAGCAGGGGAUCGCAAGACCUUGUGCUACUAGAGCGGCCGAUGGCAGAUUAGGUAGUUGGUGGGAUAAGAGCUUACCAAGCCGACGGUCUGUAGCUGGUCUGAGAGGACGAUCAGCCACACUGGGACUGAGACACGGCCCAGACUCCUACGGGAGGCAGCAGUGGGGAAUUUUGGACAAUGGGCGCAAGCCUGAUCCAGCAAUGCCGCGUGCAGGAUGAAGGCCUUCGGGUUGUAAACUGCUUUUGUACGGAACGAAAAGCCCUGGGUUAAUACCCUGGGGUCAUGACGGUACCGUAAGAAUAAGCACCGGCUAACUACGUGCCAGCCGCCGCCGUAA
rnacentral:rRNA from 1 species